UCGAAGCCUAGAAAGCACGACCGCGAAUGAGUUUGCAAUCGGGGAAGCGUCGAGAGGCCCUCGGGCAGCGCGGCGCAACCUCGCUCGGCUGGCGAGGAGACUUGUGCUGCUCGUCUUCCGAAACUAACGAACCCCGGCGCGGACAGCGCCAAGGAAUCAUAACGAAAAGAACGCGACCCUCCGACCCGUCGAUCGGGCUGUGAGGGCCUUGUCUGUUCAGAAAAUAUCAUAACGACUCUCGGCAACGGAUAUCUCGGCUCUCGCAUCGAUGAAGAACGUAGCAAAAUGCGAUACUUGGUGUGAAUUGCAGAAUCCCGUGAAUCAUCGAGUCUUUGAACGCAAGUUGCGCCCGAAGCCUUUAGGCCGAGGGCACGUCUGCCUGGGCGUCAUGCACUGCGAUGCCCCCCAUACAAGUAUGAGGGGCGAAUCAUGGCCUCCCGUUAGCCCCAACUCGCGGAUGGCUUAAAAAAGAGCCUCGAGACGGAAAGACGUCGCGACAAGUGGUGGUUAAGAGGCCCUAGGCCUUAGAACUUAGCGUGUCGCGAACUCUCCCCUCUUUGGCUCGAAAAAGACCUUAGCGGAGUGCGUUAAUAGCGCGCUGCCAGCAUC
rnacentral:misc_RNA from 1 species